CCGCUCCAGCAGUCAGCAAUAAAUAGCGAGCGUAGACCAGUGUUAGGCAUACAGCAUUCCGUGUACGGAAAGCUACUGUAGGUUGUGGACCCAGCACCCGACACCGAAUACAAUGAAGUACUCGCUCCUCAUGCUUGUAACGCUGGUUAUUGUAUUGGGCUUGCAGAAUGUGAAAGGCUGCGAUAAGAAGAGUCUUCUGAUUGG
rnacentral:lncRNA from 1 species